rnacentral:pre_miRNA from 1 species
CUUUGCCUGUGUGUGGAUGUUGUUCAGCACCAAGGACAGGUGUGUUUGUCUGUGUGUGGAUGGUGUCUAGCACAAGGACAGAUCUUUUGAAAA